AACUGACCUGAGAUAGGGAAUUUUUACUACGAUUAAAUAUCAAGAAUUGUGAAAAACUGAGUUUAAAUGUAGUUGGCUAAAGUGUAUGUAAACUUCCGACUUCACCUUUAUGUGGUCCAAGCCAGGACAAAGGAUGAUUUCAGAGAAGAGGACAGAGGGCGUAACAUCCGUUUGGAUGGAAGAGUGAGGACAGGGUGGAGGACUGGAUGUGUUGGGAUGUGGUAAAAAAUCCCUCACUUUGUCUGGACCUAAUAAGACAGUUAUUGUUAACACAUUACACACACACACCAAUGGAAGCUCCUCAGAGGAGGAGGGGGAGGACCAUGCCUCUCAGUGAAACAAUAAUAAAGUAGUGAAACAAUAAUAAAAUGCAAUCCUUUUUAGAUAAAAUUCUAGUAAAUAUAUUCAAAUGUCACCAAAUACCUCUGUCACCACAAAUGUCACCAUGGUGUAGCUGGAGGACAGAUAUUUUCCAUCCUCCUCUGGCUACAUUGACUUCAUUACAAAACCUAGGAGGCUCGUGCUUUUCACCCGCUUUCAUAGACUUUCCAGAGGACGAUCUCCAACCAAUCAAAGCUUUUGCAGUACGAACUAACAUGUUGUCUACUCAAUCAAAGGAUCAGAGAACUAACCUAGUCUUACACAUGUCUGAUUUAGAAGCUUGGUGAGUUGGUGACAUUAUUGGAAAUAUUGAAAGAUCGAGAUAGUGAAUAGUGAUAGAUGAGCAUUUUUUGGUUAUUAUUCAAUUGAAAUGAAGUUCUUCAAACUACAGGAGAAGUAGGAGGUGGAUUAAUCCUUGCUUGGACUAACAAAUUCUUAGCACUUCUGUCUAACUGUGUUCCGUUAUUGUUUUUUGUCUUCCCAGUCAAAUCCUGUCCUACCCUCAGUGGAAGAGUUGAGCUCUCCAACCGCAUCCAUCCAUGAUGAGCACGUCCUGCACUGAAACCCGCUGAUCACCUCAACCCCUGUCCUGCACUGAAGCCUCUGAACACCUCAACCCCUGACCUGCACUGAAGUCAGGCCUCUCGAACACCUUAACUCAUGUCUUAUAACCCCAUUCAGUCACUGCUGCGAUCCCUUCCCAACACUGUGAGCAAAGAACAGCUUUAUGAAUACCUCCACACACACACACACACACACACACACACACACACCAUCAAGUCUUGAGUGAACUGAAACACUCACUACAUGCCAGCUUUACGAAUGCCAUCAGAAGAAAGGUCGCUAAGUAGCUUAGUAUGCAGAAAGCCGUUUAGUGCUCAUUGUUAUUUCUGGAUACUGUGAGAAAAAGUGCCAGAGGCAAUUAAGGCCAUUGCCUUUGAGUGGCUGUGUGGUCACUUGUUUUUAUGACGAGUCUGAAGCAGUAAAAUAGUACAUAAUGAUGUCUGGUUUGCGUAACAAACACACACACAUACACACACACACACACACGCACAUACUCACCAGUAAGAGCCAAGUCCUGAGUGAAAUGAAGUGAAACACUACUACUGGACUCCUGAUCAGAGGACCGGACCUCACCUGGGAUUGAAAACUCAUCAAGUCUGCCAACGCCUGUUCCUGUUCAAACAACUUCUCUCUCAUUUUCCACCCAGAUCAUCUUGUCCCAAUUUGACACAUUACUUGUGAUUUCACUUUGAGGUUGGUCCCAGACUGGCAGUUGGUUUCUCUGGGCCAAAUCAAACAAUAGCCUGCUCUGCACUUUGUAGCGCAAUAGGGGCAGGGCUUUUUUACUUUUUGUGUGGUGCUAGUGAAGUUCUCCACCAAAUUUACUGCCUUCAGCAAGCUUAUAAAACUUAAAGCAUUUUGACACAUUUAACACUAAAAGGAUACAGAGCUAAAAUGAAACAUGGAGGCCUUUGACUUCUGAAGAUGACCCAGAAGAGGACUUACUUGACCUACUAGGAAUCUUUGGCUCCUAUAAGGAGCAUGGCAGACCAUUGAUAAAUGUCCAAGUUCUUCCAGGUCACAACAGUUGAGGCCGCUCUCAGCCAUUUCUACCUGGAUGUCUCUCUAUGGGAGAAUCUCAAUUGAGUCCUCUCUCAUCCCUCCUCGCCUCCUUAGGGGAGGGGCCUCUGGUUUUCUCAUCCCAUGGGUUGUGAGAAGGAGUUGACGAGAAAAGAGAGAGGAUGCGAGGGGUAUGCAAUUGAGAUUCUCUCCAAGCCUUUCUGGGUCGAGAAGAUACGUCAUGAGAUACAGAAGUUCAAAAAUGUCACUCCAACAUUUCAUAGCUCUACAUGCUUUCAGAAAGAAUUCAAAUCCCUGUCUCUAAGCAAGUUUAUGAAAUGGGUUUCAUAUUGGGGUUAUAUGAGUGUUUACAGCAGGCUUAGUGCCAAAUUUGAUUCACAGUAUUAUCCAUAAUCGAAAGCUGUUAAAAAGUGAGCUAAAUGUAUAACUGAGCAAACACUGUACAGCCGAGAAUGCAUCAAAGAAAAAUGCAUCCACACCUGGACUACCACCAGAGAAACUGAGAAGUGUUUCUUUCUCUCUCUCUCUCUCUCUCUCUCUCUCUGAUUGGUUAACUGACAGAGGUUAUAAAGGCACCUCUGGCCACCUAGAGAGACACAGGCACAAUUCAAUAAACGUCUUCCUCAAUUUGUCAAAUAGUCAGCAGUAGGCUACAUGCCAAGUUCAACUGGGCUAACCCAAAUAACGAGCUGCACUGUCCCUAUAGGAGAAGCCUUUUUGGUUCCAGGCAGAACCAGGUAGAACACUUUUGGUUUCAGGAAAGGGUUCUACCUGGAACCAAAAAUGGUUCUUCAAAUGGUUCUCCUAUGCAGACAUCCGAAGAACCCUUUUAGGUUCAAGAUAGCACCUUUUUUCUAAGAGUGUAUAAUAGCUUGUUAAAUAAGAGGCCAUCCAUUUCAUGAAACGUUGUUACAUACAGCAUUUCAUAUAUCUUCUCCAUUUUACCAAUAUUUUGGGAUAGGGUCUUACCAGUAUGAGGUUGGCUCGCUGCCACUCUCCCUGAAAACUCCAGUUAGGUUUUGGCCGAUUUUUCAAAUUUGAAUUCAGUGACGUCACUCGACAUCCGGUAAUGACCGUCUUUGGCUUCACCUUGAAGACCGUCUCCUAGACGUUGAACUGAUGUGCCCAGUGGGUAGCUAGCUCAGCUUGCUAGCUGUGUUGAUGGACGUACACAGAAAGUAUACAAAAAAACGGUAAAGUAAGUUAAGGACAGAUAAACAUUAAACCCACAAAGAAAUGAUUGGAAACACGGUACAUAAAAGUGUAUGCUUUUGGCUCAGUAUAUGGAGGGCGAAAACGCAUUUCCUCUAUAUUAUGAAAUGACCAUCGGCCCUUUUAAGAGAGAGAAGGUUUUUGUUUAGCUGCUGUGCAUCUAAUCUAGUAGCUCCCUCUUCCUCCUCUUUUUCAGCCCAAAUAGUUUCAAUAUGCUCAUUCUUGGUUAAGUUUAUUGCAACCAUUAUUCCGUAUAUAUUGCCUCGUUAAUCUAAUGUAUCCAACCCUUUGAACAUUUGAAUAAUACAUUGAUAAUAAAUGUAUAAAUAUCCAGUUAAAUCACGAGAAGACAUAUUUCCCAUAUAUUAAGAGUAGUGAUAUCCCAAAAUCCAAUUGUAAAUUGACCUCAGAAUUUGUUUUGUAAUUUAGGCCCACACCAUUCCUCUCUACACAUACCCAGCUGGCUUUCAUCCCUCUAAGAGAAAAUAAGGAAAAGACUGCCAAGGAAAGCGCGGCCUAACCGUAAUUCACCCUCUGCAUGUGCCUUGAACAUUGUGAUGGUUGAUCAACGUUUGACUUUUAAAGUCUGUGUGUUGAACAGCGGUCCUAUGCGCUGUUUAAACGUUUUUAAAAAUGUUUUGGACAUGAGCAAGUGUUCAGUGAUGCAGAGGAGGGAAGGGCCAAUGGAAAAGGAAACUAUCGUGUUUCCAGGAAAAAACAUCUCCCAGUCAGCGACCAUAAUCCCAUGCAGCCAAUAGGCAUGGAGAGAGAGCGAGAGAGUGCAGGCCUGUAGCGGGGAAGUCACACGUCUUAUCAGAUCAAUUUAAGAAAACUAAAAUAAUACUGGCAUCUGAGUACUGAGAAUGGAACUUUACGUAAUGUCGCUGCCUGAUAACAUCGUAAAAAAAAUUGGGGGGCCAAUUGUCAUUUUGUACAUUUACUAAAAGCAUCAACUCCCCUCAAUGUACUCAGAACAUUUCAUAACUAAGACCAAGAUGUAAAAUGUAUUCAAAGUCGCUUCUGAAGUUAAACGGGAAAAUAUUUCAUCAGACAGUGACGUAACGACAACCGAGGUUAAACGC